rnacentral:lncRNA from 1 species
UGUGUACACACCUUCACAAUUAUAUAACUCUAUGUAACAAUGCACAAAGGAGUAGCAGCCACAAUAUUAAUUUACUCAAGGAAGAACUGGUCAAUUAUGUCAUCAGAACAAACUGUAAUAGGAUGGUGCAAAUUCUGUAAACCUUGAACGGGGCGCAUAGUACCUUCCAAAGCCUAUUAACAUCAAGAUGUAAUAAGGCAAGAGAAAAAUGAUUGUAACUAUCUUCUAAUUGUUCAAACAUUUGAGAAAGCUUAGAGAAUCCGUCCUGCUGCCUUUUUCUCCAAUGUUCUCUUCCUUCUUUUACCUGCAAAAAUGAAGCAUGUUCCACAAACUGGCAAAAUCAGUGUUGUUACCAACAGACUUCCAUAUUAUAAGAGGUAUUCUGGAAGUAUUUAUGCUAACUAAAUUCAGAAAAGACCAAAAGCAUAAUAAUUUAGCAGCCCUAUAUAAGAC